UUUAUUUCUCUAGUUGUAGGACUUCCAUUCAGCCAGCUUUCCAGCGGUUCUGGAUGAUGGUUGUUUUAUAUUUUAGUUGUAAU
rnacentral:pre_miRNA from 1 species